AGAGUUUGAUCCUGGCUCAGAUUGAACGCUGGCGGCAGGCCUAACAUAUGCAAGUCGAGCGGAAACGACACUAACAAUCCUUCGGGUGCGUUAAUGGGCGUCGAGCGGCGGACGGGUGAGUAAUGCCUAGGAAAUUGCCUUGAUGUGGGGGAUAACCACUGGAAACGAUGGCUAAUACCGCAUAAUGCCUACGGGCCAAAGAGGGGGAUCUUCGGACCUCUCGCGUCAAGAUAUGCCUAGGUGGGAUUAGAUAGUUGGUGGGGUAACGGCCUACCAAGUCUACGAUCUAUAGCUGGUUUUAGAGGAUGAUCAGCAACACUGGGGCUGAGACACGGCCCAGACUCCUACGGGAGGCAGCAGUGGGGAAUCUUAGACAAUGGGCGCAAGCCUGAUCUAGCCAUGCCGCGUGUGUGAUGAAGGCCUUAGGGUCGUAAAGCACUUUCGCUAGGGAUGAUAAUGACAGUACCUAGUAAAGAAACCCCGGCUAACUCCGUGCCAGCAGCCGCGGUAAUACGGAGGGGGUUAGCGUUGUUCGGAAUUACUGGGCGUAAAGCGUACGUAGGCGGAUCAGAAAGUAGGGGGUGAAAUCCCGAGGCUCAACCUCGGAACUGCCUCCUAAACUCCUGGUCUUGAGUUCGAGAGAGGUGAGUGGAAUUCCAAGUGUAGAGGUGAAAUUCGUAGAUAUUUGGAGGAACACCAGUGGCGAAAGCGGCUCACUGGCUCGAUACUGACGCUGAGGUACGAAAGUGUGGGGAGCAAACAGGAUUAGAUACCCUGGUAGUCCACACCGUAAACGAUGAAUGCCAGUCGUCGGGUAGCAUGCUAUUCGGUGACACACCUAACGGAUUAAGCAUUCCGCCUGGGGAGUACGGUCGCAAGAUUAAAACUCAAAGGAAUUGACGGGGGCCCGCACAAGCGGUGGAGCAUGUGGUUUAAUUCGAAGCAACGCGCAGAACCUUACCAACCCUUGACAUCCUGUGCCACUACCAGAGAUGGUACGUUCCCUUCGGGGACGCAGUGACAGGUGCUGCAUGGCUGUCGUCAGCUCGUGUCGUGAGAUGUUCGGUUAAGUCCGGCAACGAGCGCAACCCACAUCUUUAGUUGCCAGCAGUUCGGCUGGGCACUCUAAAGAAACUGCCCGUGAUAAGCGGGAGGAAGGUGUGGAUGACGUCAAGUCCUCAUGGCCCUUACGGGUUGGGCUACACACGUGCUACAAUGGCAGUGACAAUGGGUUAAUCCCAAAAAGCUGUCUCAGUUCGGAUUGGGGUCUGCAACUCGACCCCAUGAAGUCGGAAUCGCUAGUAAUCGCGUAACAGCAUGACGCGGUGAAUACGUUCCCGGGCCUUGUACACACCGCCCGUCACACCAUGGGAGUUGGUUCUACCCGACGACGCUGCGCUAACCUUCGGGGGGCAGGCGGCCACGGUAGGAUCAGCGACUGGGGUGAAGUCGUAACAAGGUAACCGUAA
rnacentral:rRNA from 1 species